CUCUUACUUAGUAAUGUUACUUCUUAAAGUGCAUGUCAAACCAUGUUGUAAUUCUUGGAUUUUAGUUUUCGGUGUGCCAUAUCUUUUUUACAUUUAUGUCCUAAAAAUGUUCUGAUUCCAAUGAUGAGAAACCUUAUGCAAUUUUAUGUGAAAACAAUAGCAACCUCAUUAACAUGAUUACAAGUAACAAGUUGCGCAUACAUAGUUCCCGUGUGUUGUUUGAGUAUGCCAUUCUUAAUGGAUUACUAUUUGUAUGUGAGAACUAAGAAGAGCUAUCAACUGCAGGCCAUAUGCUAAUUUCUCAAUUAUUUUGUAUUGUCUGCAGUACCGAAUGCAUCCUUACAUUAGCAGAUUCCCAUCGUUGCAUUUCUAUGAAAACAAACUGCUGGAUGGUGCUCAGAAGGCUGAGAAAUCAGAUCCUUUCCAUGAUCACCGUUGUCUUGGUCCAUACAUGUUCUUUGAUAUUGCCGAUGGUCAUGAGCAUGCUGGAACAAGUGCUGCUGCACAAUCACUCUCUAAUCAAUUUGAAGCUGGUGCAGCACUUGAAAUACUGUCAUUUUUAAAGAACAAAUAUCCAACAGAUUUCUCCUGUAGGAAGAUAGGGAUCAUAACUUAUGGCUAUGUUGUGGAAGAGUUCUUGCGGGUGUGAGCUUGAGAAAGAAGGAGACGGCAAGUGAAAGACUGAGAAGACCAGGGAUUCUUCUUUGCCAGCCGUAAGGUGGAGGCGUUGCUUAGGGAACAUCAAACUGUAUUAGGAGAUCCAGAUAUAUAAUGCGUCUGUGUACAACAACAACAACAACAAAGCCUUUAGUCCCAAACAAGUUGGGGUAGGCUAGAGGUGAAACCCAUAAGAUCUCGCAACCAACUCAUGGCUCUGGCAC